rnacentral:rRNA from 2 species
UCCCAAUUCAUAGCGGGAGGAAAAGGAAACCAACCGGGAUUGCCUCAGUAACGGCGAGUGAAGCGGCAAAAGCUCAAAUUUGAAAUCUGGCGUCUUUUGGCGUCCGAGUUGUAAUUUGAAGAACGGUUCCUGCGUUUGCGCACUUGUCUAUGUUCCUUGGAACAGGACGUCAGAGAGGGUGAGAAUCCCGUUCGAUGGGUGCGCGUUCGCUUGUGGAGCCAGUUCGACGAGUCGAGUUGUUUGGGAAUGCAGCUCUAAGUGGGUGGUAAAUUCCAUCUAAAGCUAAAUAUUGGCGAGAGACCGAUAGCGAACAAGUACAGUGAUGGAAAGAUGAAAAGAACUUUGAAAAGAGAGUGAAAAAGUACGUGAAAUUGUUGAAAGGGAAGGGCAUUUGAUCAGACUUGGCGGGGCAGUACUGGCGUCCACUUGUGGGGCGUUUACUGGUGCUCUGCUGGGCCAGCAUCGAUUUGUGCGGCAGGAGAAUUGGGCGGGAACGUGGCUGUGCUUCGGGACAGUGUUAUAGCCCGCUCGGAUGCUGCCAGCGUGGAUCGAGGACUGCGUUCUUUUUGGACUAGGAUGCCUGGCGUAAUGAUCUAAUGCCGCCGUCUGAAACACGAUCGACGACGAC